rnacentral:rRNA from 1 species
GACGGAGGGGGCUAGCGUUGUUCGGAAUUACUGGGCGUAAAGAGCGCGUAGGCGGAUUAAUAAGUUGGAAGUGAAAGCCCGGGGCUUAACCUCGGAACAGCUUUCAAAACUGUUAAUCUUGAGUGUAGUAGGGGAUGAUGGAAUUCCUAGUGUAGAGGUGAAAUUCUUAGAUAUUAGGAGGAACACCGGUGGCGAAGGCGGUCAUCUGGGCUACAACUGACGCUGAGGCGCGAAAGCGUGGGGAGCAAACAGG